CACGUAGGGGCCAAGCGUUGUCCGGAAUUAUUGGGCGUAAAGAGCUCGUAGGCGGUUUGUCGCGUCUGCUGUGAAAACUCAGGGCUUAACCCUGAGCCUGCAGUGGGUACGGGCAGACUAGAGUGUGGUAGGGGAGAUCGGAAUUCCUGGUGUAGCGGUGGAAUGCGCAGAUAUCAGGAGGAACACCGGUGGCGAAGGCGGAUCUCUGGGCCAUAACUGACGCUGAGGAGCGAAAGCAUGGGGAGCGAACAGG
rnacentral:rRNA from 1 species